GUGGGGAAUAUUGCGCAAUGGGCGAAAGCCUGACGCAGCAACGCCGUGUGAGGGAUGAAGGCUUUCGGGUCGUAAACCUCUGUCGGAAGGGAAGAACGGGUGGUGGUCUAAUAGGCCUCCAUUUUGACGGUACCUUUAGAGGAAGCACCGGCUAACUCCGUGCCAGCAGCCGCGGUAAUACGGAGGGUGCAAGCGUUAUUCGGAAUUACUGGGCGUAAAGCGCACGUAGGCGGCCUUGUAAGUCAGGGGUGAAAUCCCACGGCUCAACCGUGGAACUGCCUUUGAAACUGCAGGGCUUGAAUCCUGGAGAGGGUGGCGGAAUUCCUGGUGUAGGAGUGAAAUCCGUAGAUAUCAGGAGGAACACCGGUGGCGAAGGCGGCCACCUGGACAGGUAUUGACGCUGAGGUGCGAAAGUGUGGGGAGCAAACAGGAUUAGAAACCCUAGUAGUCC
rnacentral:rRNA from 1 species